CGCCGGCAAGCCAGCUCCCACAGGGACUGCACAGGUGCUGAAUUUUGUGGGGUCCCUGUGGGAGCUGGCUUGCCGGCG
rnacentral:miRNA from 2 species